rnacentral:rRNA from 1 species
GUGUCAGCCGCCGCGGUAAUACAGAGGUCCCGAGCGUUGUUCGGAUUCACUGGGCGUAAAGGGUGCGUAGGUGGUGGGGUAAGUCGGAUGUGAAAUCUCCAAGCUCAACUUGGAAAUGGCAUUGGAAACUGCCCUGCUAGAGGAUCGGAGGGGGGACUGGAAUACUUGGUGUAGCAGUGAAAUGCGUAGAUAUCAAGUGGAACACCAGUGGCGAAGGCGAGUCCCUGGACGAUACCUGACACUGAGGCACGAAAGCUAGGGGAGCAAACAGGAUUAGAAACCCGCGUAGUCC